GACAGAGGGGGCAAGCGUUGCUCGGAAUUACUGGGCGUAAAGGGCGCGUAGGCGGGCUGGCAAGUCGGUCGUGAAAUCCCUCGGCUCAACUGAGGAGCGUCGAUCGAAACUGCCGUUCUUGAGGGUUGCAGAGGAGACUGGAAUUCCCGGUGUAGCGGUGAAAUGUGUAGAGAUCGGGAGGAACACCGGUGGCGAAGGCGGGUCUCUGGGCCGAUACUGACGCUGAGGAGCGAAAGCGUGGGGAGCGAACAGG
rnacentral:rRNA from 1 species